CACGCGCCCACGAGUAACUCAUGCUCCCGCAUGUGACCCCAGGAAGUUCAUGGGUUCGCCAGCCUGGGAAUUGAUCAAUUGACUCCAUAUUGAACACUAGAAUCAGGAAGCAGUGAGUCCAGUCUUACUUCACAAACCUCUCACUCGGAUGGGGAAAGGAUCAAGGAAAGAGGCAAUGACAGUAUAGUGCUGCAGAGAGCUAGCUCUGGGGGCAUUUCCAUCUGGAAUCAUUCUUACUACCUUAGGCAAGGGUUAAAGAAUGUGAUCCUCGCCUCUGGAAGAUUUAUUCUGUGUUACUCAAGUGAGACUCUGCCUCAAAGAAGAUAAAUCUCUAGUUUCUGAAACAUUGGUCAAUAUGAAUAUACUGGUCCCCCGUGGGCUGAGCCGGCGUGAAGGAGAACGUGGCUUGUUUUUAUUCAUUGCCUUACUUUCUGUACUAAAAUCCAAAGGGUCUUAAGAGAUGAAAAAUGUUAAGCUGUGACCUGUCCAACUGUCUGGUUGCUUUGUCGCAGGCAAACUAAGAAUAAGAUAAUACACAACACGAAUAGAACAAUGCACAGAAAGACAUGCGUGAAGAACCUGGGCUCCACUCUUACAGCUCCUGCUCU